rnacentral:snoRNA from 1 species
GCGGUUGAAGUGAUGAGGUUGUCAUGUCUCUUCUCUGACACUGUCCCUGGAGACAGUUAAGCCUUCUGAUCUC